AAAAAAGGCUCUGUCAUGAGUGGCACCCGCAGAGGGACUUGGUCGAGCUACAGGCAGAAUCGACAUCAAGAGAUUUGGGGAGCAUACUUUUUUGGUACCUGGGUGGCUAGUGAUCGUUGGUCCUGGCACCUGC